AUUGAACGCUGGCGGCAGGCCUAACACAUGCAAGUCGAACGAGUGGCGGACGGGUGAGUAAUGUCUGGGAAACUGCCUGAUGGAGGGGUAUAACUACUGGAAACGGUGGCUAAUACCGCAUACCAUCAGCUUUGCCCGUAUGGGAUUUGCUAGUUGGUGGGGUAACGGCUCACCAAGGCGACGAUCCCUAGCUGGUCGGAGAGGAUGACCAGCCACACUGGAACUGAUACACGGUCCAGACUACUACGGGAGGCAGCAGUGGGGAAUAUUGCACAAUGGGCGCAAGCCUGAUGCAGCCAUGCCGCGGGUAUGAAGAAGGCCUUCGGGUUGUAAAGUACUUUCAGCGGGGAGGCGUUACCCGCAGAAGAAGCACCGGCUAACUCCGUGCCAGCAGCCGCGGUAAUUC
rnacentral:rRNA from 1 species